rnacentral:rRNA from 1 species
AAUAUUGGACAAUGGGCGCAAGCCUGAUCCAGCCAUGCCGCGUGAGUGAUGAAGGCCCNAGGGUUNUNAAGCUCUUUCACCGGUGNCGAUAAUGACGGUAACCGGAGAAGAAGCCCCGGCUAACUUCGUGCCAGCAGCCGCGGUAAUACGAAGGGGGCUAGCGGUGUUCGGAAUUACUGGGCGUAAAGCGCACGUAGGCGGAUCGGUCAGUUAGGGGUGAAAUCCCGGGGCUCAACCCCGGAACUGCCUUUAAUACUGCCGGUCUAGAGUCCGAGAGAGGUGAGUGGAAUUCCGAGUGUAGAGGUGAAAUUCGUAGAUAUUCGGAGGAACACCAGUGGCGAAGGCGGCUCACUGGCUCGGUACUGACGCUGAGGUGCGAAAGCGUGGGGAGCAAACA